GACGAACGCUGGCGGCGCGCCUAACACAUGCAAGUCGAACGGAGCGGCGAGAAGCUUGCUUUUCUUAGCUUAGUGGCGAACGGGUGAGUAACGCGUGAGUAACCUGCCCUGGAGUGGGGGACAACAGUUGGAAACGACUGCUAAUACCGCAUAAGCCCACGAUCCGGCAUCGGGUUGAGGGAAAAGGAUUUAUUCGCUUCAGGAUGGACUCGCGUCCAAUUAGCUAGUUGGUGAGGUAACGGCCCACCAAGGCGACGACUGGUGGCCGGACGGGGGGGUUGAACGGCCACAUUUGGACUGCGGCACGGCCCCGACUCCUACGGGAGGCAGCAGUGGGGGAUAUUGCACAAUGGAGGAAACCCUGAUGCCGCGACGCCGCGUGGAGGGAGAAGGUUUUCGUAUUGUAAACUCCUGUCGUUAGGGACGAUAAUGACGGUACCUAACAAGAAAGCACCGGCUAACUACGUG
rnacentral:rRNA from 1 species